rnacentral:rRNA from 1 species
GAUGAACCACUUCGGUGGGGAUUAGUGGCGAACGGGUGAGUAACACGUGGGCAAUCUGCCCUGCACUCUGGGACAAGCCCUGGAAACGGGGUCUAAUACCGGAUACUGAUCCGUCUGGGCAUCCAGGCGGUUCGAAAGCUCCGGCGGUGCAGGAUGAGCCCGCGGCCUAUCAGCUUGUUGGUGAGGUAGUGGCUCACCAAGGCGACGACGGGUAGCCGGCCUGAGAGGGCGACCGGCCACACUGGGACUGAGACACGGCCCAGACUCCUACGGGAGGCAGCAGUGGGGAAUAUUGCACAAUGGGCGAAAGCCUGAUGCAGCGACGCCGCGUGAGGGAUGACGGCCUUCGGGUUGUAAACCUCUUUCAGCAGGGAAGAAGCGAAAGUGACGGUACCUGCAGAAGAAGCGCCGGCUAACUACGUGC